rnacentral:rRNA from 1 species
ACUCCUACGGGAGGCAGCAGUGGGAAUAUUGCACGAAAUGGGCGCAAGCCUGAUGCAGCAACGCCGCGUGAGGGAUGAAGGCCUUCGGGGUUGUAAAACCUCUUUUAGCAGGGAAGAAGCGAAAGUGACGGUACCUGCAGAAAAAGCACCGGCUAACUACGUGCCAGCAGCCGCGGUAAUACGUAGGGUGCAAGCGUUGUCCGGAAUUAUUGGGCGUAAAGAGCUCGUAGGCGG